rnacentral:rRNA from 1 species
AGUGAACGCUGGCGGUAGGCCUAACACAUGCAAGUGCACUGCAGCACAGUAAGAGCUUGCUCUUACGGGUGGCGAGUGGCGGACGGGUGAGGAAUACAUCGGAAUCUACUUUUUCGUGGGGGAUAACGUAGGGAAACUUACGCUAAUACCGCAUACGACCUACGGGUGAAAGCCGGGGAUCUUCGGACCUUGCGCGAUUGAAUGAGCCGAUGUCGGAUUAGCUAGUUGGCGGGGUAAAGGCCCACCAAGGCGACGAUCCGUAGCUGGUCUGAGAGGAUGAUCAGCCACACUGGAACUGAGACACGGUCCAGACUCCUACGGGAGGCAGCAGUGGGGAAUAUUGGACAAUGGGCGCAAGCCUGAUCCAGCCAUACCGCGUGGGUGAAGAAGGCCUUCGGGUUGUAAAGCCCUUUUGUUGGGAAAGAAAAGCAGCAGGUUAAUACCCCGCUGUUCUGACGGUACCCAAAGAAUAAGCACCGGCUAACUUCGUG